UGGGGAAUAUUGCACAAUGGGCGCAAGCCUGAUGCAGCCAUGCCGCGUGUAUGAAGAAGGCCUUCGGGUUGUAAAGUACUUUCAGCGGGGAGGAAGGCGAUAAGGUUAAUAACCUUGUCGAUUGACGUUACCCGCAGAAGAAGCACCGGCUAACUCCGUGCCAGCAGCCGCGGUAAUACGGAGGGUGCAAGCGUUAAUCGGAAUUACUGGGCGUAAAGCGCACGCAGGCGGUCUGUCAAGUCGGAUGUGAAAUCCCCGGGCUCAACCUGGGAACUGCAUUCGAAACUGGCAGGCUAGAGUCUUGUAGAGGGGGGUAGAAUUCCAGGUGUAGCGGUGAAAUGCGUAGAGAUCUGGAGGAAUACUGGUGGGGAAGGCGGCCCCCUGGACAAAGACUGACGCUCAGGUGCGAAAGCGUGGGGAGCAAACA
rnacentral:rRNA from 1 species